rnacentral:rRNA from 1 species
CCUACGGGUGGCAGCAGUCGAGAAUCAUUCACAAUGGGGGAAACCCUGAUGGUGCGACGCCGCGUGGGGGAAUGAAGGUCUUCUGAUUGUAAACCCCUGUCAUGUGGGAGCAAAUUAAAAAGAUAGUACCACAAGAGGAAGAGAUGGCUAACUAUGUGCCAGCAGCCGCGGUAAUCAAGAGGUUUCAAGAGUUGUUCGUAAGCACUGGUCGUAAGGCGUGCGGAGGCUGUUUCGUAAGUCGUGUGUGAAAGGCGCGGGCUCAACCCGCGGACGGCACAUGAUACUGCGAGACUAGAGUACUGGAGGGGGAACCGGAAUUCUCGGUGUAGCAGUGAAAUGCGUAGAGAUCGAGAGGAACACUCGUGGCGAAGGCGGGUUCCUGGACAUUAACUGACGCUGAGGCACGAAGGCCAGGGGAGCGAAAGGGAUUAGAUACCCGAGUAGUC